AUGAAAGCUCUAGUUUGGAACUGUCAGGGGUUGGGGAACGCCCCGGCAGUUCGAGCUCUGUUGGAUGUCCAACGAAGAACUGAUCCCAAUGUGGUAUUUUUGUCGGAGACCCACUUAGAGCGCUAUCCAGCAGAGUGUUUGAAGCAGCGACUUAAGAUGGAUGGUAUGAUUGUUAAUCCGAGUGAUGGUAGAAAAGGUGGAGUUGUUCUAUACUGGAGGAAAGAAAUAAAAGUUGUUCAAUUGUUCUCAGAUCCUUAA
rnacentral:rRNA from 1 species